rnacentral:rRNA from 1 species
UACGUAGGGGGCAAGCGUUGUCCGGAUUUAUUGGGCGUAAAGAGCGUGUAGGCGGUUUGGUAGGUCCGCUGUGAAAACUCGAGGCUCAACCUCGAGACGCCGGUGGAAACCAUCAGACUAGAGUCCGGAAGAGGAGAGUGGAAUUCCUGGUGUAGCGGUGAAAUGCGCAGAUAUCAGGAAGAACACCCGUGGCGAAGGCGGCUCUCUAGGACGGUACUGACGCUGAGACGCGAAGGCGUGGGGAGCGAACAGG